rnacentral:rRNA from 1 species
GAUGAACGCUGGCGGCGUGCCUAAUACAUGCAAGUCGAGCGAAGCGGGGACGGGUGAGUAACACGUCGAUAAACUCCCAUAAGAAGGGGAUAACCUCGGGAAACCGGUGCUAAACCCGAUUCUUAUAGAUGGUUCCGCGUUGCAUUAGCUAGUUGGUAAGGUAACGGCUUACCAAGGCAACGAUGCCUAGCCGACCUGAGAGGGUGAUCGGCCACACUGGAACUGAGACACGGUCCAGACUCCUACGGGAGGCAGCAGUAGGGAAUCUUCCGCAAUGGGCGAAAGCCUGACGGAGCAACGCCGCGUGAGUGAUGAAGGUCUUCGGAUCGUAAAGCUCUGUUAUAGGGGAAGCGGUACCUGAUCAGGAAGCCACGGCUAACUACGUGCCAGCAGCCGCGGUAAUUC